rnacentral:rRNA from 1 species
UAGGGAAUCUUCCACAAUGGACGCAAGUCUGAUGGAGCAACGCCGCGUGAGUGAAGAAGGUUUUCGGAUCGUAAAGCUCUGUUGUUGGUGAAGAAGGAUAGGAGCAGUAACUGGUCUUUAUUUGACGGUAAUCAACCAGAAAGUCACGGCUAACUACGUGCCAG